rnacentral:rRNA from 1 species
UACGGGGGGGGCAAGCGUUGUUCGGAAUUAUUGGGCGUAAAGCGCGCGUAGGCGGCUUCGCAAGUCGGCCGUGAAAGCGCCAGGCUUAACCUGGCGAGGUCGGGCGAGACUGCGGGGCUAGAGGCAGGCAGAGGGCGGUGGAAUUCCGGGUGUAGUGGUGGAAUGCGUAGAGAUCCGGAGGAACACCAGUGGCGAAGGCGGCCGCCUGGGCCUGUCCUGACGCUGAGGCGCGAAAGCGUGGGGAGCGAUCCGG